rnacentral:rRNA from 1 species
UUAAGCGACUAAGCGUACACGGUGGAUGCCCUGGCAGUCAGAGGCGAUGAAGGACGUGCUAAUCUGCGAUAAGCGUCGGUAAGGUGAUAUGAACCGUUAUAACCGGCGAUUUCCGAAUGGGGAAACCCAGUGUGUUUCGACACACUAUCAUUAACUGAAUCCAUAGGUUAAUGAGGCGAACCGGGGGAACUGAAACAUCUAAGUACCCCGAGGAAAAGAAAUCAACCGAGAUUCCCCCAGUAGCGGCGAGCGAACGGGGAGCAGCCCAGAGCCUGAAUCAGUAUGUGUGUUAGUGGAAGCGUCUGGAAAGGCGCGCGAUACAGGGUGACAGCCCCGUACACAAAAAUGCACAUGCUGUGAGCUCGAUGAGUAGGGCGGGACACGUGGUAUCCUGUCUGAAUAUGGGGGGACCAUCCUCCAAGGCUAAAUACUCCUGACUGACCGAUAGUGAACCAGUACCGUGAGGGAAAGGCGAAAAGAACCCCGGCGAGGGGAGUGAAAAAGAACCUGAAACCGUGUACGUACAAGCAGUGGGAGCACGCUUAGGCGUGUGACUGCGUACCUUUUGUAUAAUGGGUCAGCGACUUAUAUUCUGUAGCAAGGUUAACCGAAUAGGGGAGCCGAAGGGAAACCGAGUCUUAACUGGGCGUUAAGUUGCAGGGUAUAGACCCGAAACCCGGUGAUCUAGCCAUGGGCAGGUUGAAGGUUGGGUAACACUAACUGGAGGACCGAACCGACUAAUGUUGAAAAAUUAGCGGAUGACUUGUGGCUGGGGGUGAAAGGCCAAUCAAACCGGGAGAUAGCUGGUUCUCCCCGAAAGCUAUUUAGGUAGCGCCUCGUGAAUUCAUCUCCGGGGGUAGAGCACUGUUUCGGCAAGGGGGUCAUCCCGACUUACCAACCCGAUGCAAACUGCGAAUACCGGAGAAUGUUAUCACGGGAGACACACGGCGGGUGCUAACGUCCGUCGUGAAGAGGGAAACAACCCAGACCGCCAGCUAAGGUCCCAAAGUCAUGGUUAAGUGGGAAACGAUGUGGGAAGGCCCAGACAGCCAGGAUGUUGGCUUAGAAGCAGCCAUCAUUUAAAGAAAGCGUAAUAGCUCACUGGUCGAGUCGGCCUGCGCGGAAGAUGUAACGGGGCUAAACCAUGCACCGAAGCUGCGGCAGCGACACUAUGUGUUGUUGGGUAGGGGAGCGUUCUGUAAGCCUGUGAAGGUGUACUGUGAGGUAUGCUGGAGGUAUCAGAAGUGCGAAUGCUGACAUAAGUAACGAUAAAGCGGGUGAAAAGCCCGCUCGCCGGAAGACCAAGGGUUCCUGUCCAACGUUAAUCGGGGCAGGGUGAGUCGACCCCUAAGGCGAGGCCGAAAGGCGUAGUCGAUGGGAAACAGGUUAAUAUUCCUGUACUUGGUGUUACUGCGAAGGGGGGACGGAGAAGGCUAUGUUGGCCGGGCGACGGUUGUCCCGGUUUAAGCGUGUAGGCUGGUUUUCCAGGCAAAUCCGGAAAAUCAAGGCUGAGGCGUGAUGACGAGGCACUACGGUGCUGAAGCAACAAAUGCCCUGCUUCCAGGAAAAGCCUCUAAGCAUCAGGUAACAUCAAAUCGUACCCCAAACCGACACAGGUGGUCAGGUAGAGAAUACCAAGGCGCUUGAGAGAACUCGGGUGAAGGAACUAGGCAAAAUGGUGCCGUAACUUCGGGAGAAGGCACGCUGAUAUGUAGGUGAAGCGACUUGCUCGUGGAGCUGAAAUCAGUCGAAGAUACCAGCUGGCUGCAACUGUUUAUUAAAAACACAGCACUGUGCAAACACGAAAGUGGACGUAUACGGUGUGACGCCUGCCCGGUGCCGGAAGGUUAAUUGAUGGGGUCAGCGCAAGCGAAGCUCUUGAUCGAAGCCCCGGUAAACGGCGGCCGUAACUAUAACGGUCCUAAGGUAGCGAAAUUCCUUGUCGGGUAAGUUCCGACCUGCACGAAUGGCGUAAUGAUGGCCAGGCUGUCUCCACCCGAGACUCAGUGAAAUUGAACUCGCUGUGAAGAUGCAGUGUACCCGCGGCAAGACGGAAAGACCCCGUGAACCUUUACUAUAGCUUGACACUGAACAUUGAGCCUUGAUGUGUAGGAUAGGUGGGAGGCUUUGAAGUGUGGACGCCAGUCUGCAUGGAGCCGACCUUGAAAUACCACCCUUUAAUGUUUGAUGUUCUAACGUGGACCCGUGAUCCGGGUUGCGGACAGUGUCUGGUGGGUAGUUUGACUGGGGCGGUCUCCUCCUAAAGAGUAACGGAGGAGCACGAAGGUUGGCUAAUCCUGGUCGGACAUCAGGAGGUUAGUGCAAUGGCAUAAGCCAGCUUGACUGCGAGCGUGACGGCGCGAGCAGGUGCGAAAGCAGGUCAUAGUGAUCCGGUGGUUCUGAAUGGAAGGGCCAUCGCUCAACGGAUAAAAGGUACUCCGGGGAUAACAGGCUGAUACCGCCCAAGAGUUCAUAUCGACGGCGGUGUUUGGCACCUCGAUGUCGGCUCAUCACAUCCUGGGGCUGAAGUAGGUCCCAAGGGUAUGGCUGUUCGCCAUUUAAAGUGGUACGCGAGCUGGGUUUAGAACGUCGUGAGACAGUUCGGUCCCUAUCUGCCGUGGGCGCUGGAGAACUGAGGGGGGCUGCUCCUAGUACGAGAGGACCGGAGUGGACGCAUCACUGGUGUUCGGGUUGUCAUGCCAAUGGCACUGCCCGGUAGCUAAAUGCGGAAGAGAUAAGUGCUGAAAGCAUCUAAGCACGAAACUUGCCCCGAGAUGAGUUCUCCCUGACCCUUUAAGGGUCCUGAAGGAACGUUGAAGACGACGACGUUGAUAGGCCGGGUGUGUAAGCGCAGCGAUGCGUUGAGCUAACCGGUACUAAUGAACCGUGAGGCUUAACCUU